GUGACUGCGUACCUUUUGUAUAAUGGGUCAGCGACUUAUAUUCUGUAGCAAGGUUAACCGAAUAGGGGAGCCGAAGGGAAACCGAGUCUUAACUGGGCGUUAAGUUGCAGGGUAUAGACCCGAAACCCGGUGAUCUAGCCAUGGGCAGGUUGAAGGUUGGGUAACACUAACUGGAGGACCGAACCGACUAAUGUUGAAAAAUUAGCGGAUGACUUGUGGCUGGGGGUGAAAGGCCAAUCAAACCGGGAGAUAGCUGGUUCUCCCCGAAAGCUAUUUAGGUAGCGCCUCGUGAAUUCAUCUCCGGGGGUAGAGCACUGUUUCGGCAAGGGGGUCAUCCCGACUUACCAACCCGAUGCAAACUGCGAAUACCGGAGAAUGUUAUCACGGGAGACACACGGCGGGUGCUAACGUCCGUCGUGAAGAGGGAAACAACCCAGACCGCCAGCUAAGGUCCCAAAGUCAUGGUUAAGUGGGAAACGAUGUGGGAAGGCCCAGACAGCCAGGAUGUUGGCUUAGAAGCAGCCAUCAUUUAAAGAAAGCGUAAUAGCUCACUGGUCGAGUCGGCCUGCGCGGAAGAUGUAACGGGGCUAAACCAUGCACCGAAGCUGCGGCAGCGACACUAUGUGUUGUUGGGUAGGGGAGCGUUCUGUAAGCCUGUGAAGGUGUACUGUGAGGUAUGCUGGAGGUAUCAGAAGUGCGAAUGCUGACAUAAGUAACGAUAAAGCGGGUGAAAAGCCCGCUCGCCGGAAGACCAAGGGUUCCUGUCCAACGUUAAUCGGGGCAGGGUGAGUCGACCCCUAAGG
rnacentral:rRNA from 1 species